GGUGGUGGACAGAGACAUCCUGCACUCCCCUGAGGAGGUACGUAGGAACACACUAAUAAAGGACGGUAUGAGGGAGCAGGUCAUCCCCAGCCUGGGUAGUCUUGGUACCAGAUCCUUUGGGCGUAUCAGCAGUCUCACCCUGAGAUCACCUGUCAAUGUCUGGAGGUGGUGGGGGCAUACGUCUCCUGGAUAGACCUCAACCUCAUCGCCAACGACAGGUUUAUAAACCUCCUCCUGAGUCAGAUGUCUGUGGAGGACCUGAGAGAGGAGGCGUGUGACUGCCUGUUUGAGAUUGUUAAUAAAGGCAUGGACCCGACAGACAAGACCAAACUGAUUGAGUCUCUCUGUCAGGUCCUGCAGUCUGCUGGCUUCUUCAAUGUGGACCAGGUAGGUGUACACACACACACACA